rnacentral:rRNA from 1 species
CUCCCUCGUUGCUGGCCCCAGGUUCGAUAGUACCAAUUAGGCAUCACCUCGCCAAGAACCAACUUCGAUGAAGCGACGGGCGGUGUGUGCAAGGAG